rnacentral:tRNA from 1 species
ACCGAGGUGGUGAAAUUGGAAAACACGCUACUUUGAGAUGGUAGUACCUGUAGGGUUUACGGGUUCAAGUCCCGUCCUCGGUA